rnacentral:rRNA from 1 species
GGCUUAACACAUGCAAGUCGAGCGGUAACAGAUCUAGCUUGCUAGAUGCUGACGAGCGGCGGACGGGUGAGUAAUGCAUAGGAAACUGCCCAGUAGUGGGGGAUAGCCCGGGGAAACCCGGAUUAAUACCGCGUACGCCCUUCGGGGGAAAGCAGGGGAUCUUUGGACCUUGCGCUAUUGGAUGUGCCUAUGUCGGAUUAGCUAGUUGGUGGGGUAAAGGCCUACCAAGGCGACGAUCCGUAGCUGGUCUGAGAGGAUGAUCAGCCACAUCGGGACUGAGACACGGCCCGAACUCCUACGGGAGGCAGCAGUGGGGAAUAUUGGACAAUGGGGGCAACCCUGAUCCAGCCAUGCCGCGUGUGUGAAGAAGGCUUUCGGGUUGUAAAGCACUUUCAGUGAGGAGGAAAAGUUGGUCACUAAUAUUGGCCAGCCUUGACGUUACUCACAGAAGAAGCACCGGCUAACUCCGUGCCAGCAGCCGCGGUAAUACGGAGGGUGCAAGCGUUAAUCGGAAUUACUGGGCGUAAAGCGCGCGUAGGUGGUUUGAUAAGCGAGAUGUGAAAGCCCCGGGCUUAACCUGGGAACGGCAUUUCGAACUGUCAGGCUAGAUAUGGUAGAGGGUAGUGGAAUUUCCUGUGUAGCGGUGAAAUGCGUU